rnacentral:lncRNA from 1 species
GAUCCAUGUCAGCGUGGUGUUCCCAUGAUUAAAUGAUUUCAACCAAUUCAUCAUCCAUGUUAGAUAAACUCCCAUGAGCAUUAUUAACAUCAGGCCGGACAAGAAAAGGAGUCUUGCUUUUCCAUUAAGUUCUAAAAAUUCUGAAUACAUAAUUCUAAUGCAGUUGUAUGCAAGGAUUUUGAAGCAAUAAACAUUUGCUAAGUUAUAGGUUGCUGACC